rnacentral:lncRNA from 1 species
ACCUCGGCCUUCGCUUUCUCACUCGAAAACCUCCCUCUCCCCUGCUGGCCUCUGAGUGUCAGCCCCACACCCCUGAUGGCGGCUGACUCCCCUGCCAUAAAAGGCUCUGAAUGAACGGCCUCUCUUUUUUCUUACGUUUGUCCAUCACUGCACUCACUUGGCACUGGAUCCAUUGUUGUCCCACAACUCUUCCCCUGUCCGUCAGCACACACCGUGACCUUGAGCUCUCCCUGCUCCCCCGCUGGUCCUCCUUUGAAGGCUCUGUCCACUUUCAGCAUCUGUCGUGGCCGUUGCGUGGUUGUCUUCCGUGCUCUAGAUCUUCUAGAUCUGCCAUGUGCGCAGCGCCUUCACGGCUCAUCUCCUUUCACCCUCAGGGAGACCUCACAGAUUCCCUCUCGGCUCCCAUUUCACAGGCUGGGUUAAAGGUCAGUCACAGGACUUAGGUCAUCUUGGCUUCCCCGGGUGAUAAGCAGCGAAGGAUCCAAACUCAUGUCUCGGGUUCCGUCCAAGACCCUGGCCGCCAUUUUGAUCCACGGCUCUGAUGCAACUAAGUCCCUGGAGGACAGGCUCCCUUGUAAUGUAUCUGUGUUUUCCUCACUAAGUAGCAACUAAAAGCUAGUUAGACUGGCCUAAACGUCUGAGAAAGGAGGGAACCAGGAGGAGAAAGAAGAAAAACAGGAAGAAUGAAUGCAGAUUAAACAAGAAAGAUGUGUGGCUGAGUUGCACGAAAACAAUGAUCUCAUUCUUUUUCCUUUUAAAAGCUCACUCCAGACAGUGACCAUAAUGUCUCUCUCAUUUCCUCAAGACAGACUUUGAAGCUGAGCAGGUGUAUCUGCUUAGCACUCUUUGUGUCCUUCAGGAAAGCAUACUCAGAUCUGUAAAUUUACAGGUAACUUCCUCCUUGGAUUCUGUAAGCUGGAGACACCACCCACGUUCCAAGUGAACACAGGUUGAGUUUUGUCACCUGGAUGAAAUUAGGGGGCUGGUGCUUGGUCCCCCCACACUGUCGUCCACCGUGAUGGCAGCCUGCUCCUGAGAUGUUUCAUAUUCACCCCGUGACUCCGCCUGAUCCUAAAGCCUCGGUGGUAUGAAUCCAGGACAGCCACGUUCCGAUGCAUUUUUCACGUAUGGGUUAUUCACGCUGGUCUUUGAGAUUGUGCAGUUAGCAUGUGUUGUCAUAGUGAUGUAUUUAUUAUAAUGGAGGUGUUCUCGGGGAGCCAGAUUUAGUACUUUUAAAUCAGAGGCCACCAUGGGCUUUCAGGAAUUCCAUUCACAGUAAAUUUUAUGCCUGGUGAAAGGUUAGGGAAUGGGUUUCCAUAGGCCACGUCUUCCCCAUCCCACAAAUCUCCACUGGCCACAAAGGUGCCACUGUGGAUUUCUGUGAGCCAGCCACCUGAUGCUCACAGGAAGUCCCAGUGUUUAUAUACCAGUCCCUAUGCAGCAACCCUUCUGGUGAAAAAGGCAUGGGGAAGAAGUGGGCAGGCUCUGGGGUGUCGACACUAAACCCUGGGAACAGUGCCAGUCGCCUUAGUGGAGGGUCCUGUUAGCCUGGGACCGACAGGACUUCGGCUUUGCUUGUGUUCGUCCGCUAGCCCCUUCCUCUCAGGAGCCGUUGCCCAUCUGCUCAGCUGUCAUAUUUAGGAGGAAAGUGGACCGUUCCCCACCCCCGGCCCAAGGCCCCUGUCCCUGGCAUCUCCCAGUUGGUGUUAGGAUCCACCAAGGCCUCUUACGUUGUUCAGCCCCAAAGUAGCCCCACCGUAGAACCGUCUUUACUUAAACGGCCCUGUUUCGUGUGUGUGUGUGUGUGUGUGUGUGUGUGUCCUGGCAUGCUUAAACAGAAAGGGUGAAAGAGAGAGAACCUCACUGUGCCGGAAGCCUAUGGUCCUUUGUGUCUGCCGAAAAGAUGGAACGAUUGAAUUAGACACUUCAAUAUCUCUGAUGUCAGCUUGAAUACAAGCAGCUCUUCAGUGUCUUACUCCAGCAGCACAGCGCGUACCCUGGAGCUGGGUCCACACGGGUCCUGGAAGUGUGAGCAGGUUGUUAAACGUGUAGCCACGGUGGCUGGAGCCACGCCAGAUCCCACCCUUGGGGGCUCACCUGAGGUCUAGGGCUCCACCCCCGCCUUCACCUGUUUCAUGCUGGGCGGUUCCUCCUCUUGCCCAGGUAUACGUCCAGGGACCCUGGCCGUCUCUCCAGGCCACGUUCCCUGCCUCCCGCUCUGCCACCUGCGCCGGUGCUGAUGAUCAGUGCUUGGCUGAGGCACCGAGCUGCAGCGUCCCUGACCCCCGCUUCAGGAUCAAAGAGCAGCGGCAUCGGAAUCACACCGCCGAGUAUGACUCUGGCUGGACUGCUAACAAACCUUUCUCUUUGUGAGCCUUGGUUUAUGUUUUUUUCUUUUUCGAGCCGUACCUGCCGCCUACGGAAGUUCCCAGGUUAGGUGUUGAAUCAGAGCUGCAGCUGCUAUCCUGUGCCACAGCCAGGGCAAUGCCGAAUCUGAGCCACAUCUGCAACCUACGCAUCAGCUCGUGGCAAUGAUGGAUCCUUAAUCCACUGAAUGAGGCUGGGAUUAAACCCACUCCGUCAAGGACACUGUGUCGGGUUCUUAACCCAUUGAGGCAUAAUGGGGACUCCUUGAGCCUUCAUUUUACCACCUCUGGGAUGGAAUGUAUUGUUAGCUAUUGUUACCUGAUGGAGUUAGAUACUGUGUAGGUAGAAUGACUGGCAGAGCGCCGGGCACAGAGACGGACGCUGUUAUCAGUUGCUGUCUUGUAGUGAUGGUUUUCUGCCAUUAUCAGCUCUGAGAUGAAAGUGAUGGGCGUUGCCAGGACUGUUUUAAAGGCAGGAACUAUAAACCUGCACAGUAAGCCAGGUGUCCUGAAGACAGCUUGAGAGCAGAACUCCGAGUUCUUUCUAACAUGUUUGGAAGCCGUGUCCUGUGAAUGCCGCCUGCAGUCGUGGGUCCACAGGGCUGCAGAGAAAGCCCUGAUAAAUCGCACAACCCCUCAGCGGCCCACUCCCUUUGCUGGCACUCCAGGCACUGCCGUUUCUCACCCUGUUAGGGGUUUCCCUGUGUGUCCCCUAGACAGCUGCUCCUGUCCCCCACUCCCAGCCGAGAUGCUCCCACCGUCCAGAUUCAAGAUUUGUCACGCCUGAGAAUUGGGUGCUAGGGCAAAGAUGCUAGAUUUCUUUUCUUGGUAGAUUUUGAGCUCUCUGUGAUCAAACACAGUUGGUAGAUCAGCAGACAUUUCUUUUUUACAUGUGUAUGUUUUAUUAGACUGUGAAUUUCUUGACCUUUCUUACCUGGCAAUCUAAGCAAAUUUUGGGACCAGACCCAGGCAUGGAACCUGAUUUGAUUUUCUUUUUCCCCAUCCAGAGUCACUUGUUGCUUUGAAAAGCCAACUUUUGUUUUUCAGCUUUGUAGUGUAUCUUAUGCAUGAUAGGAGAAGAAGGAGAAGGAAAUAAUUUAGGAGUUGAUGCGGAAUUAAAAUAUUCCAUUAAUUCCCCUGCCCGAGGUGAUUACUCUUAAUAAUGUGGUCUUCGUUCUUUUUUCUUUCUUCUGAGUAAUGAUGUUUUAAAAAGUUGGGCUCAUGAUCUAUGUGAAUAUGUGUGUACGUACAUGUAUGUAUGUAAGAGUUUCCUAAGUAAGAAUUUCUUUAUCUUAAAUAAGAAUUUUUCAUGUCACUAAACAUUGCAUAGAAAAAUGCCUCAGUGUUGUCGUAAGAGUGUAUCAUAUGAAUGAAUUCUAUUUUGUUUAACUCUUUCUCUGGUGUUGGGUAAUUAGGCUGUUUUACAGUUUGAACGCUGUAUUUUUCUCUUUUUUUUUUUUUCAGAAAAUUUGCUUAUUCGUCUUUAUUUAAAAAUUAUUUUUUCCCAGUUUAAUGGAGAUGUAACUGACCUAUACAGCACUGUGUCAGGUUAAGGUGUGUCGCAUAAUGACUUACAUAAAACGUGAAACGGGCCCUGCACUCUUAAAAAUAAGGACUCGAGUUUAUUUAAUGACUUACUUUUGCCUCAGAUUUUGUCAUUUGAGCAUAAUAGUUAUGACAGCUGACUCCUGGCAUCCCUUCACCUAUACCGAUGAACCGAAGCCAUGAAACAAGCAAAUGUAAUUGGCUUAGAACCAGAUGUGUGACCCAAUCCUGACCUCUGAAAAUGGGGGGCACUUCUGGGAAAGGUUUUCUUACUCCUAAAAGUGUUGCAUAAGGAAAAGAUAGACUUUCUGCUUCUGUUGGAUGUUGACUCAGCCUGGAUGCACUGCAGCCGCCUUGUGCUUAAGAGGCCUUCCAGCGUGAGGCGAAGCUGUCCCCAAAGGGGUCAGAGAAGCAAGUGAAAAACCUGGAUAAGUGGGGCAUUUUGAGCUGCUGGUUCCCCUGUGCCUGUGGCCUCUCUUCCUCUGGACUUGCAGUUUUGAGUUGGACUUGAAUCAUGCAUCUGUUACUUUCAGGUCAACACACCCUAAGUCAUUUUAGUGGCAUGAGCAAAUAUAAAAUCUGCCCACCACAAAGACGUGUGCAGAAGGAGAAGCAGCGAUUCAGAGUUGAAGAUGGGCCCAAGGUCACGUCCCGCUUGGGGAACCCAGACCACUGCACAAGCUUCUUUUUUUGGUCGUCUGUUUGCUGCUUAAAGCAAAGUGCCCCCCCCGGCUUCCCGUAGCGCGACGCUCUCCAAGAGCCCGAGUGAUGACAGGGAGUGAGCCCAGGAUGCAAGGUCGGGCAGUGUGGUUCUCACGCUGGUUGGCACCCUGCGCCUGUGUGUGCGAUUCCCGCCGAGUGUCUCAACCCCUCUCAUCCCCAGACCCCUUACGAGUCAAGGAAGUUGAUAUACUGACCCGAGAAUCAGGAGACAGGAGUUCCCUCGGAGAAACAGUAAGUGGUCGCACAGUUAUUGUCAUUGUCACAGUAUGCUCCAGGGACAUUUGUCAAGGCCGUAUCUCCUACUACAGGCCAGGCUCGAUUUUCAGUGUUAGCAGUAGGGCAGCGCACAGGUACCGCCGCCUUCGUGUUUUUUAUAUUCUAAGGAAGGUGGCAGAAAGGAGCCGGAAAGAAUUGACUGAGCACCUGGAAGCGAGACUCAAGUUCUUUGUAGAUUCUGAUUUCUCCAUGAUCUAAAUAGUCAUUUCAGGUGAGCAGUUAUGAUUUUUGUCUCUCUCUCUAUCCAUCUAUCUGUCCAUCCAUCCAACCAUCCUGCCCCCUCCCCUCUCCCUCCUCUCUAUACACAGGCAUGCGUGUAUACACACACACACACUCUUACAUAUCUUAUAUUCUAGAUUCUGAUUUCUCCAUCAUCUAAACAGUUUUUCAGGUGAGCAGUUACUCUUUUUGUCUGUCUAGCCAUCCCUCCCUCAUUUGUUUAUGCCUUUGAAGUUCUUAACCUUUCUUAACCGGCAUCCUAAGUACAUCAAUUGGACAUUGGGCUCCCACUUACUGUUACGGCUGUCUUGGUAUUUUGCAAAUAGACUGGUGUUUCCUAAAUUGUGUCCCCAGGAUGCCUGGUUGUUGCAGUUGCAGUUUCUGAUGUGCGUGCGCACUCGUGUGAGUGUGUGUGUGUGUGUGGCUCUUCUGGGUGACCACCUUACAGGCCAUCAGAGGUGCAUCACCACGCCUGUGUUUGCAUUCUGAGCCGGUGGUGACUUUGGCCUGACUCUAUCUUAUGCACAAGGAAACUGAGGCUCAGGGGAGCGUGGGGGUGUGCCUCGACCGCACAGCCCUGUGGGUGCAGGCCUGAGGGGUGUUGUGGGGCCCCGUCCCCUCCCACACUGGCCUCUGCCUCUCGCCCCUGUCAUCAGUCGUGGGACGUGGGCUCUAAAUCUGAUUUGAUUACUGAGGACAAACUAGCUUAUAAAAUGCUGCAGAGCAGUGUCUUUCCUCUCCGAGAACUGGAUAUAAUAAAGUUGGCUUGAUCUCCCCAGCCUGUAUCUUGAGGGAACAAGUAAAUUAAACAAGUAAUUAUAUCCAUAAUGUUUUUAGAAGUUAGAAGAUUUAAAUAUAUGAAUCUCAUCUGAGCUUGCUGCCUUUUGUCUGCGGUGUUUCCUGCCAAAAGAUCUCUUGACAGGAAAUAAACAUUAAAAUAAUCUUUAAUCCCUUGUCUGGUCUAUUACCAUUAACAAUUGAUGCACUUUAAUUUUGUGGGAUUUUAACUACAAAAUGGAACGGCUAAGUAGUGAUAAUUGGGUUUGGAAUUAUACGGUCAUUUAUAUCAACAGAGAUGCAAGAGGCUGGGAGGGAGGGUGAUUAAUUAUUUACUCUUUCCUGGCUGUGGUUCCUAUUAUAGAAUUUUCUGAUAUGUUCUGCUGUGAACAAUUAUCACCAAAUGAAAGUAAACAAAUCUGUGAUCUGAAGCCUUAUUUAGAAGUUAGUCUAUAUUUAGGUGAUCAGGGCUUGGUUUUCAUGGACCCUGUGGGCUGGGCGCAUUCCUUUUCUCAGGGUCCCGCCAGCUCUGAAUUUGAAUAUGCUUCUCUCUCUGCAUCUUAAAAACUCUAGAACAUGCAGCCCUGGGGAGACCCCUCGGUUUGCCAGGGGAGGACCUCACCAGCCCUGAGCCAGAUCUCGGGUCAGUGCCAGCGAUGUAUCUGGGAGGGGGGCCUGGGUGGAUCCUCCGCAUCCCUGGCUUGCUGCAUCACGGCGCGGCGGCGCGGGGAGACCCAGGAGCAAAAUGGGUGUGUCCGCCUGAGAGCAAGGGUGGUGCUCUGCUCUCUGUGUGUGCGAGUGGGUGCUCAUGGAGCCCCCCUUCCUGCCUCCGUCUCCCCGUCCUCGUUCAGUGACCCAUCCACGCUCUGAUCAGGCCUUUGCAGGGGGCAGUCACCCAUCCGACACGCACUCCCCUUCUGCCUCGCUUGGUGGUGACCCGCAUCCGUAGAGCACACCCGUGUAUCUUUUUGCCUCUCCCUCCAUGUGACUCCUUCCAAAGCCAGGGGCCGGCAUCCUUAAGUAGACAGAUCCCUCUGAUGUGCGGGGAUCGAUGGGUCCUGGGUACCAUGUGUUCCCUGGGAAGUGGCAGGACGCGUAAAGCAAAGGGGUGGGCACAAGCCAUGCCGAGCGUCACUUGGACAGUCACGGUCCAUUCUCAGGCUCUGUGCCGUCAGGGCCUGGGACCAGACGUGUGAUAAGCAAGGUUGCCCUCCGGGGUCACGCCCUCGUGUAAUUCUGCGCAUGACAAGCCCUCUCCUGGUGCCUGUCUACCUGCCCAAUGAGCAGCUGCUCCCGUAUCCACCUGCAGGGUCCCCCAGCCAGGGACUGUCUUGGUGCCUCCCCCACCCCAGAUGUCCUGCCAUCACUGAUUGGUCACUCCCUGCCUCCGGUCCAACCACGGUCCUCCUCCUCAGCAUCACCACCCUGGCCGCGGUCACCGUCAUGCCUGGCCUGGGUCACGGCCAUCCUCCCUCCCUGGUCUCCACACUCCCAGCAGCCUGGGCCCCGCAGGUGCAGGUCGUAGGCCCCCCUGCUCUUCCCUGCAGGCGAUUCUCAAAGGAGGCAGAGCCCACCUUGCCUUGCGUAGCUUGGGAGGUGGAGCAGAGCAUGGCCGGGGACCCCCAGGGGCCACACCUGACUCUUGGUGUGUUGUUCUUGUUUAUGACUAGCUCACUGUCAUCGGGGGGUAGAGUGUGGAUGUUGGUGGGGACGACCCCGUGAGGAGGAAUCGAGCGGUGCUGGACACACGGAGACGCGGGACUCAGGGGCCAAGAGACUUUGCUGUUUGACCUUCUCUCCGAGUUUCUCACCCUCAGGCUAUUGAUUUGCGGUGUGGGUAACUCGGCUGUAGGGCCUUCCUGUGCCUUGUGGGACGCUUCCCAGCAACCCUGGCCUCUCCUCACUAGAUGCCAGGCGCUCCCGCCUCCCUCCCAAGUCCUAAAAAGCCGAAGAUGUCUGUAGGUGCUGCCAGAUAUCCCUUGGGCAGAGGGCAAACCAACCCCCAGUUGAGAAGCCCUGCUUUACACCCUUCUCCACAGUUUAGGUGUCCCCCCGCCCCAAGAAGAGAGUAUUUACACCAUUCUAUAAUGGAACCAGAGAAAGUGUUGAUGGAACCAGAAUGCUGACGUGAACCCCUGCUUCAAUGAUGUCCGUUGAUGUACCAGGCCCUACUCUGGACACUUGCUCUGUGUGCGGUAAUUCAUUCCUCCAAGAAUUCCAUAAG